AACGAACGCUGGCGGCAUGCCUAACACAUGCAAGUCGAACGAGACCUUCGGGUCUAGUGGCGCACGGGUGCGUAACGCGUGGGAACCUGCCUUUAGGUUCGGAAUAACUCAGAGAAAUUUGAGCUAAUACCGGAUGAUGUCUUCGGACCAAAGAUUUAUCGCCUAAGGAUGAGCCCGCGUUGGAUUAGCUAGUUGGUGGGGUAAAGGCCUACCAAGGCGACGAUCCAUAGCUGGUCUGAGAGGAUGAUCAGCCACACUGGGACUGAGACACGGCCCAGACUCCUACGGGAGGCAGCAGUGGGGAAUAUUGGACAAUGGGCGAAAGCCUGAUCCAGCAAUGCCGCGUGAGUGAAGAAGGCCUUCGGGUUGUAAAGCUCUUUACCCGGGAUGAUAAUGACAGUACCGGGAGAAUAAGCUCCGGCUAACUCCGUG
rnacentral:rRNA from 1 species